UAUUAGAUUAGAGUACUUUUUUUUUGUUUAAUAUUGGUAUUUUAUUAAUAAAUCAACAAAAUUUAAUCACAAAUGGACCAACCCAUAUAAACAAGACAGACUAGAACUAUUCCACUGACCUGGCCCAGCCUGAUCUAAUUUAAAUACAUAUAACCUAGUAGGGCUUCUAAAUUAGUGCUAAGUUUCCUAAUCUUCAUCUCUUUCACGCCUCUCUCUGAAAUGACGAUCUCCUUCACCAACUUUAGCUUUUGUUGACUGAUGCUUUGGGUGGUCACUAUUGUGCCUCUAUUAUCAUGGCUUCCUUGUGAUAUCAGUUUGCAGAAAUAUGGUAGGGAAGAAGAUAUUGGGAUGCUUGGACCCAUGAUUAUUCGGUUACCAUCCUCAUUCCCAAGUUUAUCAAGCUCAAAAUGACCCAUAGACCCUCCCAUGAUGCUAAGAUUUUUUUUGUUGGUUGAAGUAACUUAGGCUAGUUAGUACAUGCACUCUUUUUUAUGCUUCUAUGGAAUGUACAUAUGUUGCAUGUAAACUAUUCAGCUGUUACCUCCCCUGCCCCUUUAUACUUUUGAUGGUGUAACUCUCAACUAUGGACACUGCUAUUAAUCACUAUUUAGGAUGCCUUUUCCUAUUUUCUCUAGCUGAUGAAAGCUUGUAAUAGUGAAAACUCUUAUAUCUAUUGCUAAGUUUUCAAAAUAGUUAGCUAACUA